CCCCUCGGGGUGGGAGCCGGUCCUGGAUUGCCCGCCUGGGCCCAGGGGAUCAAACUUCUACACGUGAAGAGGGCGGGGGAGGGUUGGAGCAGAGAGCACAUGAGGACGGGGUCAGGGACAGAGUGACGAGACAUGAGGAGGACCCCACCGGACACUGCUGGCCUCGAAGAUGGACGAAGGGGCCGUGAGUCAAGGGACACCAUGGCCUCUUGGCCCUGGAAAAGUCAAUAAUCCUGAUUGGUCCAGACGCUUAGAAAGAAAAAAUGACCUCCGACGGCUCCUGCACCCAGAAGGCCGGAAGAACGAGCUUCCCAGUGCCCUUGGACUAUGUCUGUCAGAUAGAAGGACGUAGAGCUUGUGAAGGGGGUAGAGACCCCGUGGAAGGUAUGUUGAGAGCCUGCAAACUAAUCUGACCCAAAACACUUGCAGACAGGGCCUCGAACAAGUCCGCACACAGCGUGUUCACAGCAGCACCGACACAACGGCCAAGAGGUGGGAACAGCCCCAACAUCCGUCAGCGAAUUGUUCACUUUAAAACGACUGAAUUUGGUGUUCUAUGAUCAUUUCAUCUCAGUAAAAGAUUAAGAAAAACUUCGUCCGGUGGAGAUGGAACAGCAAACGUGCUCCUCACCAGGGGAGUGACGGAGAAUUUUGCAGAAUGGAGCACGGACAUCAGUGCUCAGGUUGAGCGUAAGUGCAGAUUCCACCUCUGAUACUUGACUGAUCUGCCCACUGAGGACAGUUAGAAGCAGCCGACAAACCUGGGACCUGGACCACCACCAGAACCUGGAUUGGUGGGCACCAGACCUGCAGAAAGCCCCCAGAGGACCCUCGGGCAGAGUGGCAGCACCUACCCCCUCCGCCUGGACCCUCAUGCCCAUUGGACUGCACCAUCCACCAGAGGGAACCAGGACGCUGCUGGGUCCUCCUGCUGUGCCCGCCCCAGCUUGCCUACAUCCUCCCCAUUCCCGGUCCACCCGAUGGACCCACAGACAGGCAGAGGCACCAGGAACUGCUGAAGCUCUUUAUGCGGAACCAGGAGGGGGAUGCAGGGCGGGGGAGGAGGGGGUGGAGGUGCAGGAAGGGUGGCAGGAGGUGACCCAGGCUCCUGGUCAGGGACUCUGUCUGUGUCCUUCAGGAUGGAGGGUCCUGGUGCUGCCGCCUCAGGGCUGCUGUGGAGCCCCGGUGCCCCCUCGUCCUGGAGAGGAGGGGGAGGGUCACUGAGACCAGGACGGGGGAGGCCGGGAGGGACUGCCUUGUGGGAGCAGGUGCCGAGGUCUGGGGGUGCUGUGUGGGGGCAGGUGCUGGGUUCUGGGGCUGCCGUGUGUGGGCAGGUGCCGAGGUUUCGGGGUGCCAUGUGUGGGCAGGUGCUGAGUUCUGGGGCCACCAUGUCGGGGGAGGUGCUGGGUUCUGGGGCUGCCGUGGGGGCAGGCGCCGGGUUCUGGGGGCUGCAGUGUGGGGGUGGGUGCUGAGUUCUGGGGCCACCAUGUCGGGGGAGGUGCUGGGUUCUGGGGCUGCCGUGGGGGCAGGCGCCGGGUUCUGGGGGCUGCAGUGUGGGGGUAGGUGCUGUGUCCUCAGGCUCUGGCCGCUGGAUCUGAGGACCUGGAGGAGACCUUCCUGUAGGCUGCCCACAGCAUCCACGCUCUCGUGUGAAAGUGUGUCGGGGCCACUUCCGGCCAACGGGAGGGCAAAGAGGGAACGGGGUUGCUCUCUGGGCUCUGGCUCUGCCCACCCCUGGGCAGUGAACUUGGGUAAGUCACUGAAACUCCAGUUUCCAAAAGGACAUGCAGUUGGUAAGGACCCCAGGAGGUCUGAAGUACCCCGCUCAUGGGUGCCGUAUUUCUGAAUCUUUUAAGCAACUCAUUGGGUAAACAAAGUCACGAUGACUACUCAGGGGUGAGGAGGGAUGUCACCCCUGCUGGCAGGCACACCGCAGUGUCAGGAGCUAGACAGUCUCCCCCAGCACCCCAGCCCCUGGAGCGCUCACUCCAGAGGGAUUUCCUCACUGCCGGGCACUGCUCUGCGAGACCGAAUCUGCAGGCGAGGCUCAGGGGUCCGGGCGACUCCAGGAGCAGGCUCUCCACCUGCCUGGCCGAGAGGGUCUCCUGUCCCGGUGGGAGCAGGGGUGGGAGAUAGACCACACGUCCCUAAUCGCUUACCCUAAUCGCUUCCUGGAGAGCAGGUUUCUGCAGAAAAAAGGAGACACACACGGCUCAGGAGACCCCAGAGAAUCAGUCGGGGCCGACACUUCACGUGACCCCAGGAAGGACAUUUAGCGUUCUCUAAAUUGGCUCUGCUGCCCGUCCCAGCGCGGGGCCCGGGCAGGAUCAGGCGAGGGUGUACUCCCUACCAUGGGGCGUGAGCGUGAAGAUCUUCUCCGGGUCGAACCCUUUGUCUCUCGCGAACGUCUUAAAAUCCUCCAGGGCCCCCUGGUUGUUCUCCGCGUCUCUUCCUGUCAGUGAAAUCAGGAGAUGCGAGGGUGAGGGGCAGAACGGGAGCAGGCUGGCAUCUCCAGCCCAGCCUGGGGCAGAGAUGGAUGGGCCGCCGCAGAGCUGGGGCAGGAGACCAUGCGCCCACGUCGGGGCUGGACCCCGAGGUCCCUCCGGCCGGGAGGAGGGCUCGGCUGGAAAGAGAGGACUGGGAGCUGUGAGUGCCCAGUGGGCGCCGUGCGGCAGGCCUGGGAGGAACGGGGUGCUCUUCAUGAGCACACCUGGGGGUCUCCUGGAGUGAGGACGACCGGCAGGACCUGCCCAGCCACAGAGGAGAGUACUUCCCCUCGGGGCCCCCGGACCCCGUGCUGUCCCCUCUGGACUGACUUCCGCUGCGCUCCUGGCUGUGGGGAGCAUGCAGGAGAGCACCUGGGGGCCCCUUGUCUUCAGGCCGAGACAGUCCUGAUGCCCCAAUGCCUCCUUGAGCUCCCCCCAUCCCGGAAUUAAGCCCCAGGAUCUGGAAUUUCCUUCCCUUGCAGCUCCAUGCACACACUGCUCUUCUCCCCCGUGGGAGACCCCAAAGGAACGGUGCUGAGGUGGACACUGCAAGGGGUGGUCCCUGUGAACGAGUGGCCCACCCAGUGACAUCUGUGACAUUUGGAUCCCUGUCCCCACAGUGGUCCUCUGCCCUCCUGUGUUCCCACUGCAGACACCGAGACUGGGAAACCCGGAUCCUGAGCUCCAGGGAUGGGAAUGAGUGCUCCCUUCAGGAAAAGCAGUUGGAAGGAGCCGCCGGUGGCUUCUCCUAAGAGGAGGAGGCACGGGGAGGAGGGGGAGGGAGGAGGGUUUGCAGGCACUGGGAUGCGGGACCCUCACCCACGAGCUUCGCCAUCCGGAUCUGCUUCCCCCGGAGCUCGCCUUCACAGUAAAGAACGUAGUGGUCCAUCACGUUCGACGGCGAGAUGUGCACCACGCGCCUGCCCUCGUCUGCGGAAGGACGGUGGCACGAGCUGAAUAAGCCAUGUGACCCUCCAGGAAGACCUGGAGCUCGCCCAGCGCCCAGCCUGGUGGACCCUCCAGUUUCCACAUGCUCCCAGCUGCUCAGGCCGUGAGGUCUCCACCUCUUGAGGACCCAACACACCGGGAGAGCCCCAUACCAGAAAGAGGGUCACAUCCCCAACCAACGGACCACAGAGAGGUUUCGGGGCAUGGAGUUGGAGCAGGUCGGAGUGUGGGGUGCUCAGUCCCCAACAACCAGAUACGACUCUGCUCCUCGCCCCUGACGUGGGCACAGCCAUAACCCAGCGGGGCCCCUGGGCGGUCCAGUCCCUCCUGGGACAAUGUGUCCCUCCUGGCUCUUAGUGUCAAGUGAUCAUAUCUUCAGGGCAAACUGACCAGAGGGAGGAGAGGGUGUACAUUUAAUGGGGUCAGAAAGGAGCGGGGCUUCUCAGGCUAAAAUGCCUCCCCAGAAAUGCGCAGGCUGCCCCCGGCUCCCCCAGUGUGUGGGGCACCACCCGGCUGGGGCUCCAAGACUCACCGGCCGUGUAUUUGCCGGGCUCAUUGGUUUUCUCCAGCACCAGUUUCGUCUCCUGGCACUGACCCCUCACCCUGGAACACAGAAGCCAUGUGGUGAUGCUGCCGUGGGUGUACCCACUUUGGAAACACAGCCAGCCCCGGUAGGGCCCCCGCCUUGGAGCAGCCGCAGGGCAAAGCCCGUAACGGUGGCCUGGGAUCCAAAGUGGGCCUGGCGGGGGAGCACGUUUCUCCCACCUCAAGUCCAGGCACUGACUGGGCCUUCAGUCAUGCGUGACAGCUCCCUGGGGCUCCCUCCAGGUGGGGGGUGGGGUGCAGCCCCCUCAAUCAGCCAGCACUGCCCCUCACGGCCCACGAGGCCCAUCCGCGGCCCCUCCCCUCCUCAGUGCCCUAAGUCUGGGGAUCUCUCCCCUGCACGGUGCCCCUGCAUGAGGCACCCUCCAUGGCGGUGCCCCCUCAAAGCUGCCAGGGCUGAGUGCUGUAGGAGGGCCUGAGAAGGACACCGGCGUGGUCUGCCUGCCCCACAGAUGCUGGCUCUCCUGGUGUGGGGAGGGAAGGCCGAGGGUCGUUGCCAGCUACCCAGCCGGCUGACACUCACUUCACGGUCGCUUUGGCCUCCAGGUUGCCCCCCUCCAGGACCGUGAGGAUCAUGGGAGUCACCAACUCAGGCUUCUCCCCGGGAAUCUCCUGGUCAGCGGUCACGGCCUUCAGAUACCAUUUCCCUGAGACCUGGGGAUGUUCCCCCCAUCAGGGCUCCGGCCGACCCCACGGCCUCCCCCUCCCGCUCUGCAGCCCCAGACUCUACCCCACCCCCAGGGCUGGGGGCUUGGAGCGCUUCCCAGCCCACCCCCCCCCACCCCCCCCAGCUUAUGCCCAGCACCCUCGCCAGACCCACCCAGAUGCCGGCUCCGGGCCCCUGCAGGUCAGCGAGACCACCGGUGCCCUUGCUCCCAGGGGCCCUCUGCAUCCUGGGACCAUCGGGCACAGACUCCUCUGUCUGACCAUUCCCUCAGGGCCAGGGGUUAAUGCCUGAUCCUAAAAUGAGUGUCUCUGCCCCUCCCCACGCCGCCUCCAGCCAGCCUGCCCCAUCUGAGCCUCACGUCCGGAGUCUCCUCGCCCAAGGCCAGGGGGUCCUUGGCCUGCAGGGCAGCAAUGAGGCUGAGGCCGAUGGUCAGGAGCAGGGUCUUCAUCUCCAGGGGUCUGUGCUCACGGCCACCUGACAGGUCACUUGCUGGGGUCGGAGAGGCUGUGCCGGCCUCUCACACAGCCACCCUUUAUACCCGCUGGCCCAGGGUCCCACGGGAACUUGGCACAGACAAUUGACAAUCCCUUCCUGGCCAUAAACCGUGGCCAGUUCCGCAGUGGAGCAGAUGAAAUGUCAGUAUUGUUGGACGUUGCUGAACGGCUCUGGUUAACCACGAAGGGUCAUCGAGGCAGCGCCACCAUCUAGAGGGACGGAUCUGCAGGCAGCAUCGAGGAGGGGCAGUCGGAGUGCAGGAGUGGAGGCUUCCGUGAGCAGAGGCACCGAGGGACGUGAGCGGUGCCAGCGGCCCCCCUCCCGCCCGUCACCGCAGGCUGGGCUGACCAGCUCGCUGCCAGAGAGGAUGUGGGCUGGACCUUAGAGCCACGGGCUUGGUUACAGCUGGCCCUCCUGGGUUAGGCUACUUAACUUCAGAUUCAGCAUCAAGAAAGAGGGACCUACUAUGUGAGCGUGACGACGGGUGUGUUUAAAGAGCAUGUCUACACUCCUGACAAGAUGUGCAAUAAGUAGUCACUUUGACACACCCUCUCUGCUCCAUGUACAGAGGAGCAGCAGAUGAGAGAUAAAGAAUGCAAACCAGGACACGUAGAUGGAAAUGUGAACAUAUGUAUACACACACACAUUCACACACACGUGCACACACACAUGCAUACAUAGGCACACAUGCAUACACAUGUGCAUACACACGGACACACGCGUGCACACAUACGUAUACACAGACACACAUUCACACAUGCGUGCAUACACACAGAGAUACGCAUACACAGAGACACGCAUUCACACACACAUACACGUUUACACAUAUGCAUACACAUUCACACACAGACACAUAUGCAUACACAUAAGCACAUAUGCAUGCACACAGAUACACACAUGCAUACACACUCACACUCAUUCACUCAGACAUGCACAUACAUACAUGCUCACACACACACAUCAAAUCAGGACGCAGGAGCAGCACAGCCUGGUGAGUGGGGCUGCAGCCCUGGCCCGGCAGGUGAGAGGACGUGAUGUCACCUCCAAAGCAGACGGGAGACGAGCCGUCCUCCGAGCAGUGACUUUCUCUGUGAGUCCCCACACCCCCCUGUCGGGCAGCAGAACAGACGCCUGGGCCGGGAGUGGGAGGCAGAGGCUACGACAAAACUGGCAGACGGAGCACGAUGACAACAAGGUGACAGAGGGGCAAGCCUGCGUGGGUUCUGCAUCCCGCCCGAAAGGGAGCUGGUGCCCCACGCUCCAAAUCACCCACAGCAAGACCAGGUGAAGAGAGACAGGCUCAAGGUGAGCGGUCUGGACCGGAACUCACUCCGGGGAGCAGGACGAGUGAAGACGCUUUAGAAGAGGAGCGUGAUGAGGACGCCUGGAGACGAGACAGGACGAGAAACCGUGAAAUGAGAGCGGCCAGAGCGUGGACAACGAGGAGACAGGAAAUAGGAACAAUGAUAAACAUCGAAGGUGGACACUGUAGUAAAUAGAAAACUCAAAAGCCAGUGAAAGUAAGCUACACACAUGAAAUUGGCUCUUUGGGGAAAACACAUUAACUAGAUCGACUUCUAGGGAGACUGCUGGAAACAUUGGGAAAGAACAACUGAAUGGCAUCGGGAGUGACGCGGGACGUGAGCUGAGGCAGACGAGAGCGGCUGAGCGGCUGUGCAGGUGUGCGGAUGGCAGGCAGGCCGCAGGGGUCAGCCUCAGAGACCGGGGGAGGGGGGAGAGGUGCGGUCACAGGGCGACACCGACGGCUCAGAGGGUGGAAGAGACGCCCAGGAACAGCCCUGGGCGGAGCCGGGAAAGCAGGCGCACAGCACAGCGGGCAAGAGCACUUGUGGGGAAAACACUACAGGAGUGGAACUGGGUGUCCACGUGGGAAAGACACACAAGCUCACCUCCCCACCUCACAUCGCUCACAAUUAUUCCAGCCAGAUUUAAAGGCUUACGUACGAAAAGCAAACCUUUCAAACCCUGUAAAGGAAACAAGGGCUGACACCUUUGCAGCCCAGAGACAGACCCCCCCGAGCUGUGAGGGAAGCGCUGAAGGGACCACAAAGGUCAAAGGUCAGCCUGGAGGGAAUGUCUGCAAUGGGCGCGACUGCUGUGGGGCUUCGAGAUGGAGAGCACACGGACGGACAGACGGACCAAAGAGUUAGGAAACGACAACCGGGGGAGAGCAAACGGGACAGGCAAUCACAAGGAGGGGCCGGGGCCGCCGGGCUCCUGAGGGUGCUCAGCGUCACUGCCGACUGGAACCAAGUGGAGACGCCGUCUCGGAGCCCCUCUGACAACAGGCGUCGCUGGGAUGUGGCUCUCGGCAGCUCUCACCGUCUGCGUCUGGGCGUGAACUGUGCCCCACGUGAGAGCAAUGGCAACCACCAGCAACAUUGCAGGCUCGCAUGCCUGGGGUCCCGCAGUUCUGCGGCCUCACACAGACACUAGACGUCCCCCUUGGGCCUCCUCCACGCUGCAGCCAGGUGCUCCCGUGAUCACGAGAUUCUGUCAAUUUGUGGAGCCAUCUCUCUCCUCGUGUUCAGGGGCCGAGGGCAGUUUUGGGUUCAGUGGGACGUGUUGAAGGUAACGGUCACUUUAGUGCCGAGCUGGCUUCCCGGGUCGUCUUGGUUUUCGGGAAUAUUCCUGCCGCUGCUCUGGACUGACGCACAUGGCGUCCUGACCCACCUGUGUCAGCUACGGGUCACAACACAGAAGGCACAUGAGCGGUGGGGGGAGACGCCAGCUUCAUUCUGCGUGAAGCCCGAGGCGAGUGUGCGGUCAGUUCCCUCACGCCCCCGGGGUGGACGCCUGUGAGCCGGGUUCAGUUCUCAGUGAAGUCUGGUCAAACGCGAGCCCGCUCUGUCCCAACUGCUUGACGGUGCAACGUGUGUCAACGCACCACACGCUUUUAUGCUGUUUAGAUGGAAACCACACAAAACAGAACUGAUCAGAAUUCUAUUUAUGGACCAAAGACCCACAGCAGAACCACAGUGAGCACAUACAUCCGUGUCGGAAGUUACGUGUCUUCUGCAUCCCAACAUCAGUGAUAAAAAAGGAAUUUCGAUCUCCCGUGCGGGGCAGAGUGUGAGUUAUCUUUACGGGAAUAGUGGAACAGUAGUUUCAGAGGAAUCAGGAGCAGCGGCUGAAAGACCAGGAAAAGGAGGUUUCUAGAGGUGGGCCGGGCGGCAGGGAGUCGGAGUGGGUGGUGGUUCCUGGAUUUGGUGAUGUUCAUGGUACUUAUCAGCUUUGUGUGUGUGUGUGUGUGUGUGUGUGUGUGUGUGUGUGUGUGUGCUCUGAGCUAACACGUGUGCCCAUCUUCCUCCGUUUUGUAUGUGGGACGCCGCCACAGCGUGGGUUGAUAGGCAGUGCUGGGUCUGCAUUCGGGAUCCGGAACCUGCAAACCCCAGACCGCCGAAGCAGAGCACGUGAACUUAGCCACUCUGCCACCGGACCAGCCCCCUUAUCAGCUUUUUAAAUAUUCUGUGCCAGUUUGUCCAUGUGGAGCCUCCUUGUCUCCUGACUGGCCCCCAGAGGCUCCACGAGUUGACCCCAUGACCCCCGCCUGCCUGAGUUGGGGCGUGUUCGUCCACCUCCCUGUCCUGCGUCCGUCCAGCCUCUGCUGUCGUCCUGCCAAGCCCAGAACAGCCGCCACCUCCUGGGAAGAAGGGCCUGACCGCCCGGCCUACAGCUGCACCGCCCUGCGUGUCCCGUGUCACAGUGGAUGAAGCACAUUCAGAAGCACGUGGAGGAAGACGUGAUGCUCCCGUCACCGUCACCCACCACCCAGCGCACACAGGCCCCUCCCCGUGGCUGACCACGGCUCACACCUUCCAGAACUUUCCACCUCCCAUGUGCACGACGUUCUAAAAGCAGCCCUCUGUUUUACCACUAACGUGACUUUGAUGUGUUCCACACGAAAAACACACCAUCCUUGGAACACAUUUUGAGCAGAAGCAGGAUGAGUCUCAUUAACUGCCGUAAGUGGAAUUUCUGGACCAAGUGGAGCCCACAUGGUGAAUGUCAACAGGCGUCCGAAGCUCUACAAAACGUCUGCCCCUGCGUCCUCCCACUGCCACCUACGGGACCACCAGCAUUCAUCCAGGGCUGACCGGUGUCCCUUGGCCUUGCCCUGACCAGGAGCUGGAGGAGGGCGGGGGGCGGCGGGUAAGGGGCAGCUCGCUCAGAGGCCGUGCAGACGCAGACGGGGCUCACACCCAGCGGCCAUGGCGCCCUCCGUCUCCCCAGGUCCUGCAGCGCCUUCUGCACGAGGACCCCCUGCACCGCCCACAGCCGGGCUGGGCCGGCACUUUGAAGAGGUGCCUGGAGCCAAGAAGGACUGAGGGGCCGCCCCUAUCUCAG
rnacentral:lncRNA from 1 species